CCUACGGGAGGCAGCAGUGGGGAAUAUUGCACAAUGGGGGAUACCCUGAUGCAGCGACGCCGCGUGAGUGAAGAAGUAUUUCGGUAUGUUAAGCUCUAUCUGCAGGGAAGUAAAUGACGGUACCUGAUUAAGAAGCCCCGGCUCACUACGUGCCAGCAGCCGCGGUUAUACGUAGGGGGCAAGCGUUAUCCGGAUUUACUGGGUGUUAAGAGAGAGUAGACGGCAGCACAAGUCUGGAGUGAAAUGCCGGGGGUUAACCCCGGCACUGCUGUUGAAACUGUGCAGCUAGAGUGCAGGAGAGGUAAGUGGAAUGCGUAGUGUAGCGGUGAAAUGCAUAGAUAUGAGGAGGAACACCAGUUGCGAAGGCAGCUUACUGGACUGUAACUGACGUUGAGGCUCGAAAGCGUGGGGAGCGAACAGGAUUAGAUACCCGUGUAGUC
rnacentral:rRNA from 1 species